rnacentral:rRNA from 1 species
CCGUUGCGGCGGCGGUGAGUACACGUGGUAACCUGCCUGUAAGACUGGGUAACUCCGGGAAACCGGAGCUAAUACCGGAUAGUUCCUUGAACCGCAUGGUUCAAGGAUGAAAGACGGUUUCGGCUGUCACUUACAGAUGGACCCGCGGCGCAUUAGCUAGUUGGUGGGGUAAUGGCUCACCAAGGCGACGAUGCGUAGCCGACCUGAGAGGGUGAUCGGCCACACUGGGACUGAGACACGGCCCAGACUCCUACGGGAGGCAGCAGUAGGGAAUCUUCCGCAAUGGACGAAAGUCUGACGGAGCAACGCCGCGUGAGUGAUGAAGGUUUUCGGAUCGUAAAGCUCUGUUGUUAGGGAAGAACAAGUGCGAGAGUAACUGCUCGCACCUUGACGGUACCUAACCAGAAAGCCACGGCUAACUACGUGCCAGCAGCCGCGGUAAUACGUAGGUGGCAAGCGUUGUCCGGAAUUAUUGGGCGUAAAGGGCUCGCAGGCGGUUUCUUAAGUCUGAUGUGAAAGCCCCCGGCUCAACCGGGGAGGGUCAUUGGAAACUGGGAAACUUGAGUGCAGAAGAGGAGAGUGGAAUUCCACGUGUAGCGGUGAAAUGCGUAGAGAUGUGGAGGAACACCAGUGGCGAAGGCGACUCUCUGGUCUGUAACUGACGCUGAGGAGCGAAAGCGUGGGGAGCGAACAGGAUUAGAUACCCUGGUAGUCCACGCCGUAAACGAUGAGUGCUAAGUAGGGGGUUUCCGCCCCUUAGUGCUGCAGCUAACGCAUUAAGCACUCCGCCUGGGGAGUACGGUCGCUAG